rnacentral:rRNA from 1 species
ACGCACGCUGGCGGCAUGCCUAACACCUGCAAGUCGAACGAGACCUUCGGGUCUAGUGGCGCACGGGUGCGUAACGCGUGGGAAUCUGCCCUUCGGUUGGGAAUAACUGAGAGAAAUUUCAGCUAAUACCUUAUAAUGUCUUCGGACCAAAGAUUUAUCGCCGAGGGAUGAGCCCGCGUAGGAUUAGGUAGUUGGUGGGGUAAUGGCCUACCAAGCCGACGAUCCUUAGCUGGUCUGAGAGGAUGAUCAGCCACACUGGGACUGAGACACGGCCCAGACUCCUACGGGAGGCAGCAGUGGGGAAUAUUGGACAAUGGGCGAAAGCCUGAUCCAGCAAUGCCGCGUGAGUGAUGAAGGCCUUAGGGUUGUAAAGCUCUUUUACCCGGGAUGAUAAUGACAGUACCGGGAGAAUAAGCUCCGGCUAACUCCGUG